rnacentral:rRNA from 1 species
AGUGGCGGACGGGUGAGUAACGCGUGAGGAACCUGCCUUUCAGAGGGGGACAACAGUUGGAAACGACUGCUAAUACCGCAUGACACAUUGAGGUCGCAUGGCCUUAAUGUCAAAGAUUUAUCGCUGAAAGAUGGCCUCGCGUCUGAUUAGCUAGUUGGUGAGGUAACGGCCCACCAAGGCGACGAUCAGUAGCCGGACUGAGAGGUUGAACGGCCACAUUGGGACUGAGAUACGGCCCAGACUCCUACGGGAGGCAGCAGUGGGGAAUAUUGGGCAAUGGGCGCAAGCCUGACCCAGCAACGCCGCGUGAAGGAAGAAGGCUUUCGGGUUGUAAACUUCUUUUGUCAGGGACGAGUAGAAGACGGUACCUGACGAAUAAGCCACGGCUAACUACGUGCCAGCAGCCGCGGUAAUACGUAGGUGGCAAGCGUUGUCCGGAUUUACUGGGUGUAAAGGGCGUGUAGCCGGGAGGGCAAGUCAGAUGUGAAAUCCACGGGCUUAACUCGUGAACUGCAUUUGAAACUGUUCUUCUUGAGUAUCGGAGAGGCAAUCGGAAUUCCUAGUGUAGCGGUGAAAUGCGUAGAUAUUAGGAGGAACACCAGUGGCGAAGGCGGAUUGCUGGACGACAACUGACGGUG